rnacentral:rRNA from 1 species
UACAGAGGGUGCGAGCGUUUGUUCGGAAUUAUUGGGCGUAAAGCGCUUGUAGGCGGCCUGUCAAGUCGCGUGUGAAAUCCCCUGGCUCAACCAGGGAAGUGCGCGCGAAACUGGCGGCUUGAGUGCCGGAGAGGGUCGCGGAAUUCCCGGUGUAGAGGUGAAAUUCGUAGAUAUCGGGAGGAACACCAAUGGCGAAGGCAGCUCGCUGGGACGGUACUGACGCUGAUGCGCGACAGCAUGGGGAGCAAACAGG